UUGUUAGCGAGAGCCACAAAAAAGCGAAUUCCAAUAUAUGUUUGGUGCUUUAUGUGCGCAUCAUCUACCUAUCUAGUGUGUGUUUAAUUAAAGUGUUGCUUUUUAAUAACUAAAAUCUUUAGCUUAAAACAUACGGAAGAUUUUGUUACUUUGAGUAUGAGUA
rnacentral:rRNA from 1 species